rnacentral:rRNA from 1 species
CCCUUAGAUGUUCUGGGCUGCACACGUGCUACACUGGCAGGUUCAGCGAGCUUCAUGCCCUGAUCUGAAAGGAAUGGGAAAUCUUUUCAAAACCUGCCGUGCUUGGGAUAGAUGUUUGCAAUUAUUCAUCUUCAACGAGGAUUGCCUUGUGAGCGCACGUCAUCAGCGUGCAUUGAAUACGACCCUGUAUUCUGUACACACCGCCCGUCGCUCCUACCGAUUGAAGUUUUCGGUGAGUUGACAGGAGGAUUUUUUUGAAACUGGUUCGCCAGUGGAUUUUAGAUCCAAAUGCCAACGAAUCGAUGGCUUUAGAGGAAGGAGAAGUCGUAACA